rnacentral:tRNA from 1 species
ACCACGGUGGUCUAGCGGUUAGAACGCUGGCCUUGUAAGCCUGGGGUCCCGGGUUCAAUUCCCGGUGGUGCUC